UGGGGAAUUUUGGACAAUGGGCGAAAGCCUGAUCCAGCAAUGCCGCGUGUGUGAAGAAGGCCUUCGGGUUGUAAAGCACUUUUGUCCGGAAAGAAAUCCUUGGCUCUAAUACAGUCGGGGGAUGACGGUACCGGAAGAAUAAGCACCGGCUAACUACGUGCCAGCAGCCGCGGUAAUACGUAGGGUGCAAGCGUUAAUCGGGAAUUACUGGGCGUAAAGCGUGCGCAGGCGGUUUGCUAAGACCGAUGUGAAAUCCCCGGGCUCAACCUGGGAACUGCAUUGGUGACUGGCAGGCUAGAGUAUGGCAGAGGGGGGUAGAAUUCCACGUGUAGCAGUGAAAUGCGUAGAGAUGUGGAGGAAUACCGAUGGCGAAGGCAGCCCCCUGGGCCAAUACUGACGCUCAUGCACGAAAGCGUGGGGGAGCAAACAGGAUUAGAUACCCUGGUAGUCCACGCCCAUAAAACGAUGUCAACUAGUUGUUGGGGAUUCAUUUCCUUAGUAACGUAGCUAACGCGUGAAGUUGACCGCCUGGGGAGUACGGUCGCAAGAUUAAAACUCAAAGGAAUUGACGGGGUCAUAGCUG
rnacentral:rRNA from 1 species